rnacentral:rRNA from 1 species
GAUGAACGCUGGCGGCGUGCCUAAUACAUGCAAGUCGAGCGAACGGACGAGAAGCUUGCUUUUCUGAUGUUAGCGGCGGACGGGUGAGUAACACGUGGAUAACCUACCUAUAAGACUGGGAUAACUUCGGGAAACCGGAGCUAAUACCGGAUAAUAUUUUGAACCGCAUGGUUCAAAAGUGAAAGACGGUCUUGCUGUCACUUAUAGAUGGAUCCGCGCUGCAUUAGCUAGUUGGUAAGGUAACGGCUUACCAAGGCAACGAUGCAUAGCCGACCUGAGAGGGGGAUCGGCCACACUGGAACUGAGACACGGUCCAGACUCCUACGGGAGGCAGCAGUAGGGAAUCUUCCGCAAUGGGCGAAAGCCUGACGAAGCAACGCCGCGUGAGUGAUGAAGGUCUUCGGAUCGUAAAACUCUGUUAUUAGGGAAGAACAUAUGUGUAAGUAACUGUGCACAUCUUGACGGUACCUAAUCAGAAAGCCACGGCUAACUACGUG